rnacentral:rRNA from 1 species
CCGCCAGAGAACUACAAGUGAAAAACUUAAAACUCAAAGGANUUGGCGGUGUCCCACACCGAUCUAGAGGAGCCUGUCCUGUAAUCGAUACCCUCGGCUCAACCUAACCUUAGCUAGUCAUAUUCAGCCUAUAUACCGCCGUCGACAGUCUACCCCAUGAGGGUCCAAUAGUAGACACAAUAACCCCUCGCUAACACGUCAGGCCAAGGUGUAGCACAUGCUAAGGAAGAGAUUGGCUACAUUUUUAAAAUUUAAAAAUUACGAAAUGCAUCAUGAAACCCUGCAUAAAGGUGAAUUUAGCAGUAAGCU